rnacentral:rRNA from 1 species
GACGAACGCUGGCGGCGUGCCUAAUACAUGCAAGUCGAGCGGAUUGAUGGGAGCUUGCUCCCUGAUAUCAGCGGCGGACGGGUGAGUAACACGUGGGCAACCUGCCUAUAAGACUGGGAUAACUUCGGGAAACCGGAGCUAAUACCGGAUAAUCCCUUUCCUCUCAUGAGGAAAGGCUGAAAGAUGGUUUACGCUAUCACUUAUAGAUGGGCCCGCGGCGCAUUAGCUAGUUGGUGAGGUAACGGCUCACCAAGGCAACGAUGCGUAGCCGACCUGAGAGGGUGAUCGGCCACACUGGGACUGAGACACGGCCCAGACUCCUACGGGGGGAAGCAGUAGGGAAUCUUCCGAAAUGGACGAAAGUCUGACGGAGCAACGCCGCGUGAGUGAUGAAGGUUUUCGGAUCGUAAAACUCUGUUGUUAGGGAAGAACAAGUACGAGAGUAACUGCUCGUACCUUGACGGUACCUAACCAGAAAGCCACGGCUAACUACGUGCCAGCAGCCGCCGCCG